rnacentral:misc_RNA from 1 species
CCUUUACACUGUGUCUUACAGAAAACCCAACCUAAACAUACAUACCACAAAACAAAAUAAAACAAACCAAUUAAAACUUUCAACAACGGAUCUCUUGGUUCCCGCAUCGAUGAAGAGCGCAGCGAAAUGCGAUAAUUAAUGUGAAUUGCAGGCAUCGUGAAUCAUCGAGUUCUUGAACGCACAUUGCGCCCUGUGGUAUUCCGCAGGGCAUGCUUGUUUGAGCGUCGUUUCCCUCUGUAGGAAAUGGGUUUGCCUCUGGCAUUCUUGAAAGACAUGGGGACUUUUGUCCAAGGAUGAACUACGUUUCCAUCCGACGGAUUGCCCAAAAAACACUUGUCAUUUCGACCUCAAAUCAAGUAGGA